GCAGAACCUUUAAUCACUUGAGAAACAAUCUUAUUCAAAUGGCAGAGCUUCAAUUUGUAUUGCAUUGGUUUCUUGAUUAAGCACAUCGAUGUGGCAUUGUAUGUGAAUUGGUAAAAAUUGUCUAGCAACUAUUCUAGAAAUAUCAACUUGGAGAAAAUUAGCUGCACAGUUCAGGCAUAUCGAUGUGGCAUUGUGUGUGAAUUUGUAACAAUUUUCUAUCAACUAUUCUAGCAGUCAUCUAGAAUGAUUUGGUAAACGUCUAGAAGUCAACAUUCUGUUUUAAAAGAACCUGAACAACAAGACAAGAACCUGAACGACAAGACAAGAAUCUGAACGACAAGACAAGAGCCUGGACGACAAGACAAGAACCUGAACGACAAGACAAGAGCCUGGACGACAAGACAAGAACCUGAACGACAAGACAAGAAUCUGGACGACAAGACAAGAACCUGGACGACAAGACAAGAGCCUGAACGACAAGACAAGAAUCUGGACGACAAGACAAGAACCUGAACGACAAGACAAGAAUCUGAACGACAAGACAAGAACCUGAACGACAAGACAAGAACCUGAACGACAAGACAAGAACCUGAACGACAAGACAAGAAUCUGAACGACAAGACAAGAACCUGAACGACAAGACAGGAACCUGAACGAUUAGCUUGCAGCUUACUUUAAGAAAUUGUUACUUUUGACAAUCUGAACAAAAUUUGAAAAUACUUUAUUUGGGCUUUUUUGAUUUAUUUUUUACCACAAAAGCAGCCGGAUCUAACUUACUGAAAUUAAGUGGAAAAUUUUAAGAAUAUUGUCAGAUUACUUAGAUGCAAGAUUAAAACAGCUUUAGAUGACUAAAACAUCCGAUUUUGUCAUUCUGCUCAUAACAGUAGACGAGGCUACUUGAGUAAGCCUAUGCCAAUUAAAAUGAUAAAUCCGAGGACUAAAAUAUUUAAUGUUAGAGCUCUUCAUAUUAAAGGAAAAUAUUUAAUCAACAUCAUCAAUGAAACUCUAAAACUCUGAUAAUGAAAGGAAUAUCAACUAAAUGGAACGUCGCAAAAUUUCCAUUCACAAAUGUAUUAUUACAAAGCACAAUCUCAAUCAGUCAAUGAGGCUAAAAAAAACAGUUAUCGACUUAUUGCUGAAUCAGCCAUGAAGGCCAACUGUUUUAUUGAAUUGUAAUAUUUUUAAUCAACAUUAUUCCACUCGAUUGAUUAAGAUUAUUUUGUUAUUUAAUUCGGAAGAAUAAUUGACACUAUCGAUUUUCAACUAUCACUGUUAAAAAAAUUGCAACAAAAUUCAUAUCUCUUUGUCUAUUUUUCACAACUCUAUCCUUUGCUUAUACUUUCUCUAUUUUUUGUGCGAAUUUCAUCAAAGAUAUUCACUUGAGAUGAAAACUAUUUCUUCUAUCAAUCAUUCAGUGAUGUGAUCUUAAUAUGAUAAUUUAGCCAAUGAAUGAAACUCAGUUUAUCAACUUUCGGCAUCAUGAAAGCUCUGCUGCACAUGGGUGUUGUCAUGGAUGAUCUGCUUUAAGCGAGAAAUACAUGUUUUAUCAUCGUUUGAAACCUUAAAACUACGAUAAUUACGUAGACCAUGUCAGGUAUUAGAACUGAAAAUGGCUUAGUCAUUUCUGAAUCAUCAACACAUUUUGAAAUCUUGAGUUAAAUUUUAGUACAUAGAAAACGACUUAUAUAAUGUAAAUAGAGGGCACUGCAUAAACAACAAUCUUUAUUGAUAAGUCAUCAGGUGUGUCGCACUGGGCAGGCAAGCUAAGAAUCAACCGUUGCAGCGUUUUAACCACAAUGCAGUUGCUAAUAACAUCCCUUUUCUUUAUUAAAAAAUCUAGCUAAGGACUGAUAGCUUACAUAAAACGAAAAUGAAGCAACUUUUAUGCAUGUACAUAUACCUUUUUAAAUAGGCAAAUAUUCUUCAUUGUUAGUUAAUCUGAGGGAAUCAUGCCUUUGUUGCUAACACUGGGCUAAUACACAACAAUGACUGUGCUGGCUAAACAUCCUCUUUCCAUUUUUGCCAACAAAAGCAUGCCUGGGUUAAGAAGGUUUUGUGCUUUUUCCACACAGAAAUUUGUCUUCACGAAGUUUAAAAAUAAAAAGAUGCCAAUCAAAAUGUUGCAAAAUUUAUGGCCAUUCAAUGGAAACUAUGGUUUUGCAUGUAAACCAAUAUUAAGAUCUUCUUAAUUUCAACACAAUCUCAGUGAUGUUUCUUCGCAGACAAUGUGCCUAUGAUUUUUAUAAACAAGCAAAGCAAUUGAAAAUCACCGUUUGAAUGCGUUUCCUGUGGGCUUUUGCAUUGCUCAACGUAGGAAAAUUGA